GACCCCGCACAAGCGGCGGAGCAUGCGGCUUAAUUCGAUGAUACCCGUAGAACCUUACCUGGACUUGACAUAUAGGGUCAAGCUAUAGAGAUAUAGUGUGCAUUAGCGCCCUAUACAGGUGGUGCAUGGCUGUCGUCAGCUCGUGUCGUGAGGUGUCAGUUAAGUCCUAUAACGAGCGCAACCCCUAUCGUUAGUUGCCAGCGGGUAAUGCCGGGAACUCUAGCGAAACUGCCGGUGCAAACCGUGAGGAAGGUGGGGAUGACGUCAAAUCAUCACGGCCCUUACGUCCUGGCUACACACGUGCUACAAUGGUCGGUACAGAGAGCAGCCACUACGCGAGUAGGAGCG
rnacentral:rRNA from 1 species